rnacentral:rRNA from 1 species
AUUGAACGCUGGCGGCAUGCCUAACACAUGCAAGUCGAACGAGUGGCGAACGGGUGAGUAAUGUCUGGGAAACUACCCGGUGAAGGGGGAUAACUACUGGAAACGUUAGCUAAUACCGCAUACCAUCGGAUGUGCCCAUAUGGGAUUAGCUGGUGGGUGGGGUAAAGGCUCACCAAGGCGACGAUCCCUAGCUGGUCUGAGAGGAUGAUCAGCCACACUGGAACUGAGACACGGUCCAGACUCCUACGGGAGGCAGCAGUGGGGAAUAUUGCACAAUGGGCGCAAGCCUGAUGCAGCCAUGCCGCGUGUAUGAAGAAGGCCUUCGGGUUGUAAAGUACUUUUAUCGGGGAGGCGUUACCCGAAGAAGAAGCACCGGCUAACUCCGUGCCAGCAGCCGCGGUAAUAC